rnacentral:rRNA from 1 species
ACAGUCACACAUUAGAUACCCCGGUAGUCCAGGGUGUAAACGCUGCGGGCUUGGUGUUGGGGGGUCCUUUGAGGGCGCCCAGUGCCGGAGAGAAGUUGUUAAGCCUGCUGCUUGGGGAGUACGUCCGCAAGGAUGAAACUUAAAGGAGUUGGCGGGGGAGCACCGCAACGGGAGGAGCGUGCGGUUCAAUUGGAUUCAACGCCGGACAACUCACCAGGAGCGACGGUUACAUGAAGGCCAGGCUGAUGACCUUGCCUGAUUUUCCG